GACGAACGCUGGCGGCGUGCCUAACACAUGCAAGUCGAGCGGGGUUGAAGCGAGAGGUAACUCGAACUUCUACCUAGCGGCGGACGGGUGAGUAACGCGUGGGCAACCUGCCUCAAGGUCUGGGAUAACAGCCCGAAAGGGCUGCUAAUACUGGGUAUGCUUGUGGCCUCGCAUGGGGCUAUGAGCAAAGGGGAAACCCGCCUUGAGAUGGGCCCGCGUCCCAUCAGCUAGUUGGUGAGGUAACAGCUCACCAAGGCGACGACGGGUAGCCGGCCUGAGAGGGUGACCGGCCACACUGGGACUGAGACACGGCCCAGACUCCUACGGGGGGCAGCAGUGGGGGAUCUUGCACAAUGGGCGAAAGCCUGAUGCAGCGACGCCGCGUGAGCGAAGAAGGCCUCGGUUGUAAGCUCUGUCUGGAGGGACGGAAGGAAGUAGACGGUACCGUCCGGAGGAAGCCACGGCUAACUACGUGCCAGCAGCCGCGGUAAAGUGUGUGUA
rnacentral:rRNA from 1 species